ACGGAGGAUCCAAGCGUUAUCCGGAUUUAUUGGGUUUAAAGGGAGCGUAGGCGGCCCGCUAAGUCAGGGGUGAAAGACGGUGGCUCAACCAUCGCAGUGCCCUUGAUACUGGCGGGCUUGAAUAUAGUUGAAGUGGGCGGAAUGUGACAAGUAGCGGUGAAAUGCAUAGAUAUGUCACAGAACGCCGAUUGCGAAGGCAGCUCACUAAGCUAUCAUUGACGCUGAGGCUCGAAAGCGUGGGGAUCAAACAGGAUUAGAUACCCUGGUAGUCCACGCCCUAAACGAUGAUAACUCGAUGUUGGCGAUAUACAGUCAGCGUCCAAGCGAAAGCGUUAAGUUAUCCACCUGGGGAGUACGCCCGCAAGGGUG
rnacentral:rRNA from 1 species